rnacentral:rRNA from 1 species
AGUGAACGCUGGCGGUAGGCCUAACACAUGCAAGUCGAACGGCAGCACAGUAAGAGCUUGCUCUUACGGGUGGCGAGUGGCGGACGGGUGAGGAAUACAUCGGAAUCUACUUUUUCGUGGGGGCUAACGUAGGGAAACUUACGCUAAUACCGCAUACGACCUACGGGUGAAAGCAGGGGAUCUUCGGACCUUGCGCGAUUGCAUGAGCCGAUGUCGGAUUAGCUAGUUGGCGGGGUAAAGGCCCACCAAGGCGACGAUCCGUAGCUGGUCUGAGAGGAUGAUCAGCCACACUGGAACUGAGACACGGUCCAGACUCCUACGGGAGGCAGCAGUGGGGAAUAUUGGACAAUGGGCGCAAGCCUGAUCCAGCCAUGCCGCGUGUGUGAAGAAGGCCUUCGGGUUGUAAAGCCCUUUUGUUGGGAAAGAAAAGCAGCAGGUUAAUACCCCGCUGUUCUGACGGUACCCAAAGAAUAAGCACCGGCUAACUUCGUG